rnacentral:rRNA from 1 species
UACAGAGGGUGCGAGCGUUGUCCGGAAUCACUGGGCGUAAAGGGCGCGUAGGCGGCUUGAUAAGCGUGCGGUGAAAGCCCGGGGGCUCAACCCCGGGUCGGCCGUGCGAACGUGUCGAGCUGGAGCACUGUAGAGGCACGGUGGAAUUCCGGGUGUAGCGGUGGAAUGCGUAGAGAUCCGGAAGAACACCGGUGGCGAAGGCGGCCUGCUGGGCAGUGGCUGACGCUGAGGCGCGACGAGCGUGGGGAGGCAAACAGG